rnacentral:lncRNA from 1 species
CGUGUUUCUCCCAUGUCCGCGGUCGGCAGGCACCUGACGACACAACAAUCACGGCAAACAAGCAUGCCGCCAGAAGGGAAGUUGUGUUGAAGAAAGAAGACUCUGUUGCUCAUGGAAUACUCCUAACUAUCUAUGGGAGGGUUUUCGGAGUGCACCUUGUUUACCACCCACCUUGCUCCGUUACGUACCGCUGGGCUGACCCUUGCCUUCCCCCCGACAGCACUAGGUGUCUUCUGUCAGUGCCAAUUCUGUAUCCGACUACCGUCUACUAUAAUUCCUGGAGGCAGCACCUUCGAGCCCCGAAAUUGUGAGGACCCUUCUCCCACUACCCCUUUCGCGUAUUACUUGCGGUGUGUGGCUCCGAUCGCGUGGACCACCUCUCCACGCCCCUAAUUCCUGAAUCAUGAACCCCAAACCCCGCUCGCCCCAAAAUACUCUUAUUGCUCGAGGCCCAAAGGAAUCCCUUGACCAGCUGUUACCCAUGUGCCAACGCGUUGCCAUAAACCAUGCUGCCCGGGUGGGGAUACUUGCAGAAUUGUGAACGAUACGCUUUUGGUGUGCAGUUAGACGACUUUGCUGGCUGUGUCGGACCUGGAGCAGCUGCUCUUGAUCGGUAAUUCCUCGGACACAGCCCGUGGUAGCGCCCAGUUAUACAUUCAGACAUCUGUUUGACAACAAGCGACGCCUGCGCCAACAUGCAUAAAAGGAGCCAUGAUGUAAUGUACUGGUC